UACGGAGGGGGUUAGCGUUGUUCGGAAUGACUGGGCGUAAAGCGCGCGUAGGCGGAUCAGGAAGUUGGGGGUGAAAUCCCGGGGCUCAACCCCGGAAUGGCCUUCAAAACUCCUGGUCUUGAGUUCGAGAGAGGUGAGUGGAAUUCCGAGUGUUAGAGGUGAAAUUCGUAGAUAUUCGGAGGAACACCAGUGGCGAAGGCGGCUCACUGGCUCGACACUGACGCUGAGGUGCGAAAGCGUGGGGAGCAAACAGGA
rnacentral:rRNA from 1 species